CACACUCACUCUUUUGAGACAGGGUCUGG
rnacentral:piRNA from 1 species